rnacentral:lncRNA from 1 species
GACAAUUGUAGGUGCAGUUAGUAUAAAAACUACAUCGACCCAUUUUUUGUACAAUGUAUAUGCGGGUAUGAGAAAAACUUUUCUCCGGUCAGAGUGCCAUCAAUAUUGGUGGCAACUUCAUGUGGCAACAAAGUGUCAACUAUCUCAUCACAUGUAAAAAAAUUUGAUUUGCAUGUUAUCUAAUUUAGAGGAUGCUCAAAGGAGGUAAUAUUCUAAAUUGUAAACUUAAUCUCCAUGUUUUACCAACUUAAAUAACUGAUAUAUAAACACAAGUUGGAUGAUUUUGCUUUGAUCAGACUGUUGUUUGAAAAUUUAAUUUUUAUGCUCUUUCUAAGUUCUUAUAUUUUGUUUCUUUUAAAAAUGCAAUUUCUUAGUUGUAGUAUCUAUCAUCUUUUAAAAUGAUUCCAUAAUUUCUCUUUACCAAACAACCAUUGAUCUCUCCCGUUAAAUCUUCGCCGGCUCAAAAUCCGUUCAAAAAUCUCACCGUUUCGCCAAUUCACUCCUACCUCAUACACAGAUCUAUACUAUUAUCUGAAUUGUUGGUCGACGAAAUCGUUUCAAACACACAUAGCCCUAAUUCAAAUCCACACCCGUCGAUUACUUCUCGAUCGUUUAAGCUUAUAUAUUUCGGUGUUUCUCUUGUUCUAUAGCCGAUCUGGAGGUGUCGAAGUGCCUACUAUAUCCCAUGAUCAAUCGUUUCAACCACCUAGGGUUUCUGAUUAAAUAGAAAUUAGAAAAGGGGAUCACAAAAUUGGCUCCAGUAAUUCAUGGUUCUCGUCGCGCGGUACGAACAACAAGAUUUGAUUAUAAAGAAAAGCGAUAUCUUGGAUUAUGAUGAUGGAAGAAGGCUAUUAUGUAUGGGCGGUGGGAAGGGGAGCUAUGGUUCCACCGGCGGCACAUGUGGCCGGUCCCAUCUUCCUCCAAGCCAUCUGUAGCUGCUCCUUCCAAUUCCUUCGUAUUGAUUGACUCUAACUCUUUCUCCAAAGUAUAUAUAAUUUUUUAUUCCGUUUAUAUACCCAUAUCCAUUACUUGUAUGUAUAUUUAUAUAUCAAUUUUGAUUAGUUUACCUGCUUCAGUGCUCUUGUAAGUUAGCUCUAUAUAUGAAUACUAUUUCAAUGAGAGAGAGAGAGAGAGAGAGAGAGAGAGAGAGAGCGUGAGAGAGAAAUGUGGGCCCAAAUUAGUAAUUUAUUUUCUUUUUCCUUUAANUAAAAGAGAGAGAGAGAGAGAGAGAGAGAGAGAGAGAGAGAGAGAGACCCUUUAAUAUUAAUUAAUUAUAAUUAUAAUAUUAUUUUUUAAAUAAGACAAAAACUUCAUAAAUGGUCCCUGUCUAGUGAAAAAUGUCCCUGACUUAACGGCUAGAUGGUAACAGAGUUAGACGGAAAGACCAAAUGUUAAAAGUUUUGAAACCACAUGGACCAUCUAUGAAGUUUUUUGAACUUAAGGACUAAACUUGAUAUUUUUGGAAACCACAGGGAUUAUUUUUAAAGUUUUGUCAAAAAAAAAAAUUACAGCAUGCAAUUAGUUGCGAUGAAGAGCUUGACAUUUGAUAGACGAUUUCAUGUGGUAUUGUAAACUUCUUUUUUAGUUAUAGGUUUGUAGGAUUUUUGUAUGCCACAUAUUCCCAAAUUAAGCAUUAGAAUCUGGUAAGCUUUCCUUGAAUUUUUAUUUCUUUAUUGAAGAGUACAGUUUACAUUGGAUAAUUAUAUGAGAAAAAAUUAUAUGUUUUAUUCUAUGUUUCAAUACAAACAAUAUGUAUGAGCAAUACGGUUUAUUCCCUGUUAUUUAUGUACUGAAAAUGAAAUAAAAAAUAUUUUUAAAAUAUAUGAACCGUAUGGUACACGGGCUUUAACCUAAUAUAUANAUUUUUUAUUUCAAAAACCUAUAUAUAUAUAUAUAUAUAUAUAUAUUAAAAGAGGGUGGAGUUAGCUACAAUACCUAACUCCACCACUUGUUCACCUGGUUACCACACAGGUUAAGUUUUUCACUACCCAAUCCUUCCACUGCUCACUCUAUCUUUCCUGACUACUCCACCUACCGACUACUUCUUCUCUUCUACUCCAAUUUCCAUCAGGAUCAAUCUCCACUUCUCAUUGGAAAUCAAUUUAUCAAAGUUCAUCCAUUCGCCAUCCCUUCCAGUCAUGUGGCCUCCGUUGGGCUACCGACAACGACAGAAGGGAACCACCGCAUCGCCAUGGCCUUCGUUUGUGGGUUUUCAUCGGCGUUCCUGCUCUCCUUCUUAUGGCUUUGCUAAUAGCAGGAUCGGACGUAAACAGUGGCGAGAUAGUAAAGCGGAGGAGAGGAAGGCUGAAGAAAUUUGUGUUCGACGUGUCGCACAACAUGCGAUCAACUCUCAAACCCAAAAGCAACACUACCAGCAGCACACACAACAUACAUCGACGACACAUGCAACUAAUACCAGCGCCUCCCAUUAGAUUCUAAGGUUCCAUAAAAGAAAAUGGUUAAUACAUUUAAGGUUUUCCUUCUAUCUAAGAAAUUGACGAAUUUAAGCUUUAUCUUGGAUCGAUUGUCCAACUACUUAAUCGAUGGUUUAAACUUUCUCUUCAAUCGAUGGAGUCCAGGAAGUCGAGGUCUUUUGUCUCAUUCUAAACACCUUCACGCCACUAGCAUUAUAGGCUAUUGAAACUCUGUUCUUCAUCAUUCACUACAACCUACUGAUUCACAACCACAAAUUCGACUUUAACGCAUUAGGGUUUAUAAACAUGACUAUAGAAAAAGAUCUGAAUUCAGUCUGUCUUUGAAUAAGAUAAUUAAUAUAUCAGAUAGCAAUUCUUUACAAUUUUCAUCUUAAGAAUAUAAAAUUUCAUUGCAAUCUCAUUUUGUUGCAGAAAAUAAGAGCAGAUGAUUGCGAUAUGCGUAUGUUGAAAAGGUCCGAUACUUUUUCUGAAUAAAGUAACUACUGAAUCAAAUACUUGAUAGAAAUUAGAAUCAACGGCCAAACAAGAUAUGCCAGGAGAACAGUCGUUGUAGUGGUUCCAUGUGGUUGGCUCAAUUUUUUAUAGCAACAUCAAUAAUUUUUUGUUUCAAUUUGCCUAUGGUAUCAUACUAGGCGAUAUUAAUUAUAAGUAUAUAGUUAGAGGGAUAAAUGUGUAACUUAUAGGCUUAUAUAUACUCGUGUAAUUAUUAUUCAUAAUACACAAUACAUACAUAAUUCACAACAGAUUGUUAUGGUAUCAGAGCCAACCGAAUACCUUACAAAACCCUAAAAUCUGUUGCCGCCCUCUGCUGCCAGACUCACUGUUCAUCGAGGUACUAUUCACGAAGAUAUUGUUCACGAGACUACUAUUCACGCCCUCUUCUGCCUCCUGAUCAAUGUCACCUUCUGCUACCUCUACAAUGACUCACACUUUUUUCUUCUAAAGAUAAAACAACGCACAACUCUCACAAAUUCGGCUUCACUUUACUCCUCCUCCUCCUCCAACUCCCGUUUCCACCAACCCAUAUGUAUCCUCUUACCCUGACCCUUCCCAAAUCCCACAUUCCUCUCCAACUCCAAAUAACUCUAAUAAUCUGCCACAACAUACGACAUUUCCCUCCUCGGAUAUUCCAUCCGAACCCAAACUCCCCAUUCACACAUAUCAUCGUCAACGUUCCUCUUCCAACACUUCUGACCAACCCUACUCUUCCGCCUUUGAUUUGUUCCAACGAGCCACUUCCGCUACCACCCCACCGACCCCAUAACCGUCGGCAUCCGACCCACCAACAUCCACCACCCACCGACCUCACCCUGCUCAUUUACGACAACAACCCAAACAAACCAAACCUUUCUCACAUGAAUCAUUUCACACAAUAACUACUUCCUCCAUUCCUGAACCUACCUCCCACUACUAGAAAAACAGCCUUUUACGACGCUCAUUGCGCGUCGUAAAAGGCUUAGACGACGCACAUUUACGACGCUCAUUUACGACGCGCAAUUACGACGCGCGUUUACGACACGCAAUGCGUAUCAAGGAAGGCCCUGUCAUAAAGGAAGACGACACGCAUUCGUGUGUCAUAACCUUACGACGCACGUGGUAAUGACACACAAUGCGUAUCAAGAAAGCCCCUGUCAAGAAAGGCCAUGUCAUAAAUGAAGAUGACACACAUUUUUGCGUAUCGUAAUUUUAAAUGUUUAAAAAAUAUAUUAUUUAUAGAUUUACUUAUUUUCAAAUUAAAUUUGUAUUUAAUGUUUCAUAAUAGAAAUUAAAAUAUAAUAUACAAAAAAUAGAAUUCAUUGCAUAAAUUUAAUGUCAUACAAAUAAUCGUUAACAAAAAUUCAUUUAAAAAAAAUCACAUGUCAAACAAGUUACCUAACAUUACAUGUCAAACAACACUAUAUGUUAACACUAAUAACACUUAAAAACAUGAUUUUUCUUACAUUUGGAGCACCCAAUAUUCCUAUAUCAGCAACCAACUUUAGGUCGAAUUCCAACCACCUGUAUAAGAACAAUAUUGUAAAAGAACAACAUUAGAAAAGUUAAUUAAUAUAUACCAGUACAACAUGUAUGAAUAAGUUCCUUAGUUUAUCUACUUUAUAUGUAAUUUCUCAUCAAUAACAGGUCUUGUUGCUGAGUUAUUCCCAUGCUGCCCUUGGUUGAAGUUUUACAUUUGAUCCAUGUAAGUCUAAUCAAUGGCAAGUCUUAGGAAUGAACCACAAACAGACCUAAGAACAGAAACAAUUGAUUAAGGACUAGAUUCCCUUACUAAACCUGUUUGUUGUAAUAGAAUAAUUCCACAAGCCAGCAUAAGAAAACAUCCAAAGUAAAAAAGAUCCGUUGUUGAAAGCGACUUCAACUUCCUGUCAAAACAAUAAAAGGUUGGUUGUUUUCUAGAUUAUCAAAUUAUUUAGUGUUUAUUUUAGCAUGCAUGCAAUGAAUAACAUUGAAAACCAAACCAAACCAAAAAGAGCCCAAGUCAAAAAAUGCAUGACAUCAACAUGUAAGGACUACUUACUAUUUUCGUUCAGAUACCUUCAACAAAUUCAACCAAUAUUAUCAAAUUGUUCAUUAUUCUCUACUUUUGUUGAACCAAUGUUAUCAAGAUUCAAAUCUAUAGAGCACCCAUGUCUUAGACACACGAAGCGAUCUAGCAAGCAUGUACCGGAGGUUGCUGACAUGUGCAAGUCAUAAAAACAUAGAUAACAUUCUUUUUCAUUAGUUUUUUCAAAAUCAUCUUCCAUUUUUUGAAACUGAAAACUGGUUUGAAGGUGUUGGAUCCUUUUUUAGCUCCAUUUUAACUCUCAUUUGAAAUUAUUAUAUUAAAAGAACAUUAGAAAACAACAAAUAAAUAAAUAAAUAAAUAAAGUUUUUUUUUACCUUGACAACAUUGGUGAGUAUCCCAUUCUUCCCACAAACAUGUUUCCAAUAUAAAUUCUCGCAAGUUUCUUUAUUCAAAAAUCAAGCUUCCCAUAAAGCCCUAAUCCUUUCUCUAGCUAAUAACGACUUAUGAGAUAUUGAUGUUUUUCGUCUUUGCUGACUGUACACCUCGACGACACCUUGUCCAUGUUCUAGCCAAUCAACAAGCGCCACAUUGACAGCCUCCACACAGUUAAAACCACAACUGAAUCCUGCAUUAUAUGCCCUUGGAAAAGUAACAAUAAACUCUCCACAACACUGAGAAGCUCGAUAAACUGGGACCCCUUCAGACUUCAAAAUUUUAGGGCUCAAUUGAGUAACCUGUUAAGAUUAAAUCAUUUAUUCAUUAUCCAACACUAUAUCCAGACACUACUUAUUGCGAAAAAAAAAAUUACGAGUUGAUGGAGUAGAUCUGUUUGUUCCUUAAAAAAAACAGAUAGAUAUCUGAUUUUGAAUUGGUUUAUUGAAUCUGAUCCAAACAGGUAUAUUGCCUUAAAAGAUAAAAAAAAAUAUUUUGAAGAGUUUUGUAGUUUAAGUUUUGGAAAAUUGGGUGGCAGGACAUGGGUGAAGAAUUAUUUGGGGGUGAUGAUAAUAUUUAUAUUGAUAUUAAUAUUUCAGGCAAAGUUCACGAUGCUCAUCACAGCAGAUUCCUGCAAUGUUCAUUAAUUAUCAGUUUGAUGAACUGGAUAUUUUUAUCUAGAGUAGUACCUACCUGUGUGUGUUGGACUUUUGUGAAGAUUUCCAUUUUUUGUUUAAACAGCUUUGCCAGAUGAGUUUCCAGGAGCUGACUCUUCCUAGCCUUGUUGGUGUUUGAAUGGUUUUUGUCAUUUUUGGAAGGCUUGGGGCUCGGUAGUCGGUACCGAGCAAAAUUAUACAACUGUGGGUUGUGUGUCAUUCUUCUUCCUUG